rnacentral:rRNA from 1 species
CCUACGGGAGGCUGCAGUGGGGAAUAUUGGACAAUGGGGGCAACCCUGAUCCAGCCAUGCCGCGUGUGUGAAGAAGGCCCUCGGGUGGUAAAGCACUUUCAGUGGGGAAGAAGGCCUGGUGGUUAAUACCCAUCAGGAAAGACAUCACCCACAGAAGAAGCACCGGCUAACUCCGUGCCAGCAGCCGCGGUAAUACGGAGGGUGCGAGCGUUAAUCGGAAUUACUGGGCGUAAAGCGCGCGUAGGUGGCUUGAUAAGCCGGUUGUGAAAGCCCCGGGCUCAACCUGGGAACGGCAUCCGGAACUGUCAAGCUAGAGUGCAGGAGAGGAAGGUAGAAUUCCCGGUGUAGCGGUGAAAUGCGUAGAGAUCGGGAGGAAUACCAGUGGCGAAGGCGGCCUUCUGGACUGACACUGACACUGAGGUGCGAAAGCGUGGGUAGCAAACAGGAUUAGAUACCCGAGUAGUC